AGGUAGAGGUCCUCUCUAUUUAUAGAUAAUUUUCAUAAUCCAUAAGUAUAAGACUCUUAAUUCAAACAUGCUUUGAAUCAGUUCAAUACUCAUGAAAGAAGGACUUCUACAUGAGAUAGGAUAGGAACCAUAUAAAGCACCCACAGUGCACCUAUUCUCUCACCCACAUGGGAUACCCACAACCAGCACCAUACCAGGUACUAGCUAGCCAAGG
rnacentral:lncRNA from 1 species